GCCGUGACAACCCAGUUCUGCGUCCACGUCCCUGCGGCUGCGGCCCGGUCCUGCCCUCCGGGAGAUUCGCCGCUCCCGCCCUGCGACUUGGUGUCGCGGACGUCCUCUGCCCCAGAGGCCCAUUCCCGGGGAGUUCGGGGGCAGGGACCGCGGACAGCCCGGUCUGGGGCGGAGAAGCCACGAGCGCCCUUCGCGGACUCCAUCCCCGCCGCCGGUCCCCUCCCGCACCGAGUCUUCCUGGGCCCCGUCCCCGCGCCUUCUCUUCCAGCCCUGGCCAGAGGUCUUGGGGCCUCCCUGAAGGGGGCGGCUCUCAGGCACCCAGAGCGCGGCGGGCCCUUGCCCCACCCCCAAGUUCAGGUCUGGGGUCAGCCGAAGGAAGGACCCGAGAUUGGCAGCUCAGACCGUCAGGGCCCACGCCUUGGCCCAGUCGUAGGGAAGUGGGAGGAUGCCACGAGCUGCAAGCCCCGUGUGGACAGGGAAGGAAGUGUGGCCUCAGCCCGAAUGCUGGACCCCGCAGAGCGGUCCCAACGAAUCAGCGUCUAACGAAGAAAGAAUGACAACGUGAAUGUGAUGUAAUGUGAGCUUCGGAGGGAGGCUUGUUGCUCCUGUUCAUCCAGCAAUCUGGCUGAAAGGAAAGUUACAGCAACUGGGGAAAAGUACAGUUGGUUGGAGAAUUUGGUUUAAAAAUAAAUAAAUAAGGUUUAAAUUAUGUAACUAACA
rnacentral:lncRNA from 1 species